GACAAUAUUACUUACCAAUUACCAGAAGAUUAAAAUACGACAAAAAUUUAAUUAAUCAAACCUCAAGUAAUCUCCGCAAGUGUCUGGUGGCGGCAGAUUUUGUAUUUCACCUAUUACACUUUGAGGGACGUGAUGUUUUGAAGAAAAUUCGCUGCUAGAGGAAGAUUAUAAUCAAGAAACAACAAUUUCGGAAAAAAUAAAAAUAAAUGCUCAGGAGCUGAGUUGAAAUUAUAUCAUUCACAAACCUUUUUUACACAAUUACAAAUAAAUUUGAUACUGCCGAUGCCGACGAAACACUUGCCCUUUUCCCCUCUGCUUCACACGAAUUUAUCUUACCUUGAAGAGAGAGGCUUUUAACUGGGCUUAUAAUAACAGUGGAUAAAGCGUGGUUGUUUGUGCAAUUAAUUCGUCACCGCUAUUCAC
rnacentral:lncRNA from 1 species